rnacentral:rRNA from 1 species
GACGAACGCUGGCGGCGUGCUUAACACAUGCAAGUCGAACGGAAAGGCCCUGCUUUUGUGGGGUGCUCGAGUGGCGAACGGGUGAGUAACACGUGAGUAACCUGCCCUUGACUUUGGGAUAACUUCAGGAAACUGGGGCUAAUACCGGAUAGGAGCUCCUGCUGCAUGGUGGGGGUUGGAAAGUUUCGGCGGUUGGGGAUGGACUCGCGGCUUAUCAGCUUGUUGGUGGGGUAGUGGAUUACCAAGGCUUUGACGGGUAGCCGGCCUGAGAGGGUGACCGGCCACAUUGGGAUUGAGAUACGGGCCAGAGUGAUACGGGAGGCAGAAGUGGGGAAUAUUGCACAAUGGGCGGCAGCCUGAUGCAGCAACGCCGCGUGCGGGAUGACGGUCUUCGGGUUGUAACCCGCUUUCGCCCGUGACGAAGCGUGAGUGACGGUAAUGGGUAAAGAAGCACCGGCUAACUACGUG